GACGAACGCUGGCGGCGUGCUUAACACAUGCAAGUCGAACGGAAAGGCCCUGCUUUUGUGGGGUGCUCGAGUGGCGAACGGGUGAGUAACGCGUGAGUAACCUGCCCUUGACUUUGGGAUAACUUCAGGAAACUGGGGCUAAUACCGGAUAGGAGCUCCUGCUGCAUGGUGGGGGUUGGAAAGUUUCGGCGGUUGGGGAUGGACUCGCGGCUUAUCAGCUUGUUGGUGGGGUAAUGGCUUACCAAGGCUUUGACGGGUAGCCGGCCUAAGAGGGUGACCGGCCACAUUGGGACUGAGAUACGGCCCAGACUCCUACGGGAGGCAGCAGUGGGGAAUAUUGCACAAUGGGCGGAAGCCUGAUGCAGCAACGCCGCGUGCGGGAUGACGGCCUUCGGGUUGUAAACCGCUUUCGCCUGUGACGAAGCGUGAGUGACGGUAAUGGGUAAAGAAGCACCGGCUAACUACGUG
rnacentral:rRNA from 1 species